rnacentral:rRNA from 1 species
GAUGAACGCUAGCUACAGGCUUAACACAUGCAAGUCGAGGGGAAACGGCAUCAAGCGCUUGCGCCUGAUGGACGUCGACCGGCGCACGGGUGAGUAACGCGUACCCAACCUGCCCCACACUAAGGGAUAACCCGCAGAAAUGUGGACUAAUACCUUAUAUUUUCCACCAAGGGCAUCGUCGAUGGAACAAAGAUUUAUCGGUAUGGGAUGGGGAUGCGUCCGAUUAGGUUGUUGGCGGGGUAACGGCCCACCAAGCCUUCGAUCGGUAGGGGUUCUGAGAGGAAGGUCCCCCACAUAGGAACUGAGACACGGUCCUAACUCCUACGGGAGGCAGCAGUGAGGAAUAUUGGUCAAUGGGCGAUAGCCUGAACCAGCCAAGUAGCGUGCAGGAAGACGGCCCUAUGGGUCGUAAACUGCUUUUAUGCGGGGAUAAAGGAGUCCACGUGUGGAUUUUUGCAGGUACCGCAUGAAUAAGGACCGGCUAAUUCCGUGCCAGCAGCCGCGGUAAUACGGAAGGUCCGGGCGUUAUCCGGAUUUAUUGGGUUUAAAGGGAGCGUAGGCCGCGUUUUAAGCGUGUUGUGAAAUGUAGACGCCCAACGUCUGCAUCGCAGCGCGAACUGGGACGCUUGAGUACGCGCAACGUUGGCGGAAUUCGUCGUGUAGCGGUGAAAUGCUUAGAUAUGACGAGGAACUCCGAUUGCGAAGGCAGCUGACGGGAGCGGCACUGACGCUUAAGCUCGAAGGUGCGGGUAUCAAACAGGAUUAGAUACCCUGGUAGUCCGCACAGUAAACGAUGGAUGCCCGCUGUGUGCCUAUCAUGGUACGCGGCUAAGCGAAAGCGUUAAGCAUCCCACCUGGGGAGUACGCCGGCAACGGUGAAACUCAAAGGAAUUGACGGGGGCCCGCACAAGCGGAGGAACAUGUGGUUUAAUUCGAUGAUACGCGAGGAACCUUACCCGGGCUUGAACUGCCGGUGCACGAUCCAGAGAUGGUGAGGCCCUUCGGGGCGCCGGUGGAGGUGCUGCAUGGUUGUCGUCAGCUCGUGCCGUGAGGUGUCGGCUUAAGUGCCAUAACGAGCGCAACCCCUCUCCGUAGUUGCCAUCAGGUAAUGCUGGGCACUCUGCGGAUACUGCCACCGCAAGGUGCGAGGAAGGUGGGGAUGACGUCAAAUCAGCACGGCCCUUACGUCCGGGGCUACACACGUGUUACAAUGGGGGGCACAGCGAGUAGGCCGCGCGCAAGUUCGGUCCAAUCAAGAAAUCCCCCCUCAGUUCGGACUGGGGUCUGCAACCCGACCCCACGAAGCUGGAUUCGCUAGUAAUCGCGCAUCAGCCAUGGCGCGGUGAAUACGUUCCCGGGCCU